AACAGCCAUAAUAAGUUGUGAAACAGCCAUUGCCACUGCCCUUGGAUAAGCAUAGUCCCUCACAAUAAUCUCAGAAAAGAAACCACCGCCCACACGGCCGAGAAAGUUCCAGAUGCUUAUCAUGGACACAAAUAUAUGUGUAUUAUCAUAACCCAGAGAUUGACUCAUUUGACCCAGAUUAUCAAUCACAGUUAGCCCAGAUCCAGAACCCAAUAAAAGUGACACAAAAAUAAGCCAAAAAUCUGCCUUGAUUAAUGCCUGCAUCA
rnacentral:misc_RNA from 1 species